UGGGGAAUAUUGGGGCAAUGGGGCGAAAGCCUGACCCAGCGACGCCGCGUGAGGGAAGAAGGUCUUCGGAUUGUAAACCUUAGUCAACAGGGAAGAAGAAAGUGACGGUACCUGUGGAGGAAGCCACGACUAACUACGUGCCAGCAGCCGCGGUAAUACGUAGGUGGCAAGCGUUAUCCGGAUUUACUGGGUGUAAAGGGUGUGUAGGCGGGAUUGCAAGUCAGAUGUGAAAACUAUGGGCUUAACCCAUAGCCUGCAUUUGAAACUGCAGUUCUUGAGAGUCGGAGAGGUAAAUGGAAUUCCCGGUGUAGCGGUGAAAUGCUUAGAGAUCGGGAGGAACACCAGUGGCGAAGGCGAUUUACUGGACGACAACUGACGCUGAGACACG
rnacentral:rRNA from 1 species